AACGAACGCUGGCGGCAUGCCUAACACAUGCAAGUCGAACGAGACCUUCGGGUCUAGUGGCGCACGGGUGCGUAACGCGUGGGAACCUGCCCUUAGGUUCGGAAUAACUCCCCGAAAGGGGUGCUAAUACCGGAUAAUGUCUUCGGACCAAAGAUUUAUCGCCUUUGGAUGGGCCCGCGUUGGAUUAGCUAGUUGGUAGGGUAAAAGCCUACCAAGGCGACGAUCCAUAGCUGGUCUGAGAGGAUGAUCAGCCACACUGGGACUGAGACACGGCCCAGACUCCGACGGGAGGCAGCAGUGGAGAAUAUUGGACAAUGGGCGAAAGCCUGACCCCGCAAUGCCGCGUGAGUGAUGAAGGCCUUAGGGUUGUAAAGCUCUUUUACCCGGGAUGAUAAUGACAGUACCGGGAGAAUAAGCUCCGGCUAACUCCGUG
rnacentral:rRNA from 1 species